rnacentral:lncRNA from 1 species
UACUUGACUUCAACAUUUGAUCAAGAAAUAAUAUUUUACUUCUUGCUUCUCCAAGUUACAAAUUUUCCUCCCACAUGUAACGACCCGAAAAUCGGACCGCUACCGGCGCUAGGAUCCGGGUCGGCUUAAGGCCGCCAAGACCCGUAGCAAGCCUGACUUGCAACCUGAAACCUGUUUAAUCCCAUACAUGAUCAACAACAUACAUAAAAAUUUAAAACUUUUCUUUCAUACAUCCAACUCAACCUGAACAUGCACUGC